GUCCCCGUAGCCCAAUUGGACAGAGCGUCGGCCUCCGGAGCCGAAGGUUGCAGGUUCGAAUCCUGCCGGGGACG
rnacentral:tRNA from 1 species